GACGAACGCUGGCGGCGUGCUUAACACAUGCAAGUCGAGCGAUGAAACACCUUCGGGUGCGGAUUAGCGGCGAACGGGUGAGGAACACGUGAGGAAUCUGCCUUCCACUCUGGGAUAACUCCGGGAAACCGGGGCCAAUACCGGAUACUUUCAACUGGCGGCAUCGCCGGUUGAAGAAAGUUUUUCGGUGGAAGAUGACCUCGCGGCCUAUCAGUUUGUGGGUGAGGUAAAGGCUCACCAAGGCGACGACGGGUAGCCGGCCUGAGAGGGCGACCGGCCAAGCUGGGAGUGAGACACGGCCCAGACUCCUACGGUAGGCAGCAGUGGGGAAUAUUGGGCAAUGGAGGAAACUCUGACCCAGCGAGGCCGCGUGAGGGAUGAAGGCCUUCGGGUUGUAAGCCUCUUUCAGCAGGGAAUAAGCGAAAGUGAAGGUACCUGCAGAAGAAGCACCGGCUAACUAUGUGCCAGCAGCCGCGGUAAUAC
rnacentral:rRNA from 1 species